GACGAACGCUGGCGGCGUGCUUAACACAUGCAAGUCGAACGAUGAAGCCGGAGCUUGCUCUGGUGAAUUAGUGGCGAACGGGCGAGUAACACGUGAGUAACCUGCCCUUGACUCUGGGAUAACUGCGGGAAACUGUAGCUAAUACCGGAUACGACCCUCGGAGGCAUCUCCUGGGGGUGGAAAGAAUUUCGGUCAAGGAUGGACUCGCGCCCUAUCAGCUAGUUGGUGAGGUAAAGGCUCACCAAGGCGACGACGGGUAGCCGGCCUGAGAGGGUGACCGGCCACACUGGGACUGAGACACGGCCCAGACUCCUACGGGAGGCAGCAGUGGGGAAUAUUGCACAAUGGGCGCAAGCCUGAUGCAGCAACGCCGCGUGAGGGAUGACGGCCUUCGGGUUGUAAACCUCUUUUAGCAGGGAAGAAGCGAAAGUGACGGUACCUGCAGAAAAAGCACCGGCUAACUACGUGCCAGCCGCCGCAGUAA
rnacentral:rRNA from 1 species